rnacentral:rRNA from 1 species
GAUGAACGCUGGCGGCGUGCUUAACACAUGCAAGUCGAACGAUGAAGCCCAGCUUGCUGGGUGGAUUAGUGGCGAACGGGUGAGUAACACGUGAGUAACUUGCCCUUAACUCUGGGAUAAGCCUGGGAGACUGGGUCUAAUACCUGAUAGGAGCGUCCACCGCACGGUGGGUGUUGGAAAGAUUUAUCGGUUUUGGAUGGACUCGCGGCGUAUCCGCUUGUUGGUGAGGUAAUGGCUGACCAAGGCGACGACGGGUAGCCGGCCUGAGAGGGUGACCGGCCACACGGGGACUGAGACACGGCCCAGACUCCUACGGGAGGCAGCAGUGGGGAAUAUUGCACAAUGGGCGCAAGCCUGAUGCAGCGACGCCGCGUGAGGGAUGACGGCCUUCGGGUUGUAAACCUCUUUCAGUAGGGAAGAAGCGAAAGUGACGGUACCUGCAGAAGAAGCACCGGCUAACUACGUG